rnacentral:rRNA from 1 species
CUCUGUGACUCCUACGGGAGGCAGCAGUGGGGAAUAUUGCACAAGUGGGGGAAACCCUGAUGCAGCCAUGCCGCGUGUGUGAAGAAGGCCUUCGGGUUGUAAAGCACUUUCAGUAGGGAGGAAGGUAGUGUAGUUAACACCUGCAUUAUUUGACGUUACCUACAGAAGAAGCACCGGCUAACUCCGUGCCAGCAGCCGCGGUAAUACGGAGGGUGCGAGCGUUAAUCGGAAUUACUGGGACGUAAAGCGCAUGCAGGCGGCCUGUUAAGUCAGAUGUGAAAGCCCCGGGGCUUAACCUCGGAAUUGCAUUUGAAACUGGCAGGCUAGAGUCUUGUAGAGGGGGUAGAAUUUCAGGUGUAGCGGUGAAAUGCGUAGAGAUCUGAAGGAAUACCAGUGGCGAAGGCGGCCCCCUGGACAAAGACUGACGCUCAGAUGCGAAAGCGUGGGGAGCAAACAGGAUUAGAUACCCUGGUAG